AUGAUUAUAGUUAAAAAGGUAUAACGUUUACUUCCUAAGUAUAUUUUAUCAGUUCGAACCUGGUUAAUUAUA
rnacentral:tRNA from 1 species